UACGUAGGGUGCAAGCGUUAAUCGGAAUUACUGGGCGUAAAGCGUGCGCAGGCGGUUAUGCAAGGCAGAUGUGAAAUCCCCGGGCUCAACCUGGGAACUGCAUUUGUGACUGCAUGGCUAGAGUACGGUAGAGGGGGAUGGAAUUCCGCGUGUAGCAGGGAAAUGCGUAGAUAUGCGGAGGAACACCGAUGGCGAAGGCAAUCCCCUGGGCCUGCACUGACGCUCAUGCACGAAAGCGUGGGGAGCAAACAGG
rnacentral:rRNA from 1 species